AAAGCGAUAGAAGAGAUUCAUAUGAACACGUGUCCUAUCACACCUUGCCUUAUAGUCUUUUUUGUGUUUCGAUAAUCCAUAACUACUUAAUUUUAUAGAAGGUGUUCGAAAUCGAUCUGUAUGCAAGCUGUAACAGUCGUCGUGUCGAAGAAUUUUGCAAUCUUUCAGCAAUUUCAGGUGUAUGUCGAACAACACAGACCGAGGCUAGUCAUUUCAAGGACUUUCCAUGAAGAUCGGCUUUUAUUCUAGGACAGUAUAAUGAUUAGGCUGCGAAUAUUUACGAAACGAAUUAACUGGUAACAGCAUGAGGAAGGCAACAUGAAA
rnacentral:misc_RNA from 1 species